rnacentral:rRNA from 1 species
AUGCGGGAGGAAAUGGCGAUGUACAAGAUCAGAGACGUCAGUGAGCUAUAUGCCCUGGCCGACAAGUGUGCACGUGCUGAGGAAGGGAGGAAACUCCCCAGAGAGAAUACAGAAGCAGGAAGAUCUGAUAGUGAGGAUGCUGCCCCGGCAAAGAAGAGCCGGCGGCGGAACGGCAGGAAAAAGAAAGGCAAAAAUGUGCUAGUUGUUGAGCAGUCCGGCAAUGGAGGUGGCGCCAAGAAAGCCAAAGCUGGUAGUUCCGGCAAGGAGACUGUCGCAGGCAUCAACUACCAGGCUGUGGCGGUCGCCGACAAGCAGGACGACACUAACAAGCAGUACUGUAAGAUCCACCGCAUCAAGGGCCAUGACCUCCAGAGCUGCAAGAAGGUCGAGUAG